CCUACGGGGGGCAGCAGUGAGGAAUAUUGGUCAAUGGCCGGAAGGCUGACGCAGCGACGCCGCGUGAGGGAUGAAGGUCUUAGGAUCGUAAACCUCUGUCAGCAGGGAAGAACGGUCACUGUGCUAAUCAGCAGUGAAUUGACGGUACCUGCAAAGGAAGCACCGGCUAACUCCGUGCCAGCAGCCGCGUUAAUACGGAGGGUGCGAGCGUUAAUCGGAAUUACUGGGCGUAAAGCGCUCGUAGGCGGUAUGUCAAGUCAAGGGUGAAAUCCCCGCGCUCAACGUGGGAACUGCCUUUGAAACUGGCAAACUGGAGUGUGUGAGAGGAUAGUGGAAUGCCAGGUGUAGGAGUGAAA
rnacentral:rRNA from 1 species